GAGCAGUAGGACACAACAGUGUCCACCCUCCAUUUUCAGUUGGAGGAUGAGGAUGAGCCAAGGACGGUGACAACAAUGACAGUGAUGCCGAGCUGACUACUGUUGUGGGUCCUGUUGCUGAAACAGUUCCCGAUUCUGUUACUGUUUCUGUUCUUGAUUCUGGACUCUGAUCCUGUGCCUGCUCUUUCCUGUCAACUUUGACAUGUGUUCCUCUCGCAUUUUUUGUGACGCCUGUCGUUUGCUGUUUGAAGCAUGCUACUUAAAAGCUGACAAUCCCCACUUUUCAGAGAGGCACUCCCUUUGAGAGGUAAACCAACAAAAAAGAUGCUGAAUGAUGGUGACUGAUGACACCUGACGCAGGACAAGAGCAGAUUCAUUUUCGGCCAAGAGCGACUGGCAGUUACAAGUUCCUAGCCUCCCAGACCAGACCAGACCAGACCAGACCAGACCAGACCCGCUGACAAUUCCAGGCUACAAAUAAUGGCCAUAAAAAUGCCGCCCUCACAGUGGGAGACUUUCGAGUGACGGAAAGGACAUGACAGAAGAGCAGGAGGUGUCAAGUGGUGCUCAUGUCUAGGCCAGAAAGGGCAAACAAAAGCCCCCCUCACUCAAUACUGGUAUUUGUGUGUUGGCAUUUUUUGAAAAUUCAAUUUACAAUUUAAUUUUCUGCAAAAUUGCUCCAUUGUAAUGGAGACAACAAAUAUCAUUUAUAACAAUGAAUUAAUGUAUUUUUAAUAUUCGACUAAUUGGCGCAGAUAAAGGAAAAGCUUCGAGCUCUUCACUCUACCCAGUUCUUUCUCCCCAUUAAACCCGUGCAAAUGAGUGAAAACAUGUUAAAGCCCCCUGGAUAAUGAAAAACAUUGCUCUAGAGACAUGUGUGCGUGUGUCCGGGUGGGUGGGCGUGGCAGGGUGCGAGAACAAAAUGAAAUUAUAGGCUGGAAAGAGCGCCUAUGCUCUGCCGCCCCUGGAUGUACUUUUAUAUAUUAAUACAAUUUUACAUACAUGGAUUUUAUGCAAGCGCCAAAGGUUAAUAAACUUAAUGUCAUUUCUGUGGCACAAUGGUUGUGGCAUUGUGAAAUUGUUGCUGUUGCUGCUGCUGCUGUUACCGUCAUGACAAAUGAUUAUUAAUAACUUAAUGAUAUUAUCAUUUAUUUAUUCAGGGAUUUUUAUUUUAAUUGCACUCCUCUCUGUGAUUUAUUAAAUCAGCAAGAACGAGUCCGUCCUAGUCCUGCCUCUCCUUCUACUCCAUGUGGCAUAAUUAAUUUGCUUAUUUCCCCUGCACCCUGACGCUUGUCCCUUGCCACAGGGUAGUCGUCAUCUAUGGAGUGGCAAUGUCAGAG